rnacentral:rRNA from 1 species
UAGGGAAUCUUCGGCAAUGGACGGAAGUCUAACCGAGCAACGCCGCGUGAGUGAAGAAGGUUUUCGGAUCGUAAAGCUCUGUUGUAAGAGAAGAACGAGUGUGAGAGUGGAAAGUUCACACUGUGACGGUAUCUUACCAGAAAGGGACGGCUAACUACGUGCCAGCAGCCGCGGUAAUACGUAGGUCCCGAGCGUUGUCCGGAUUUAUUGGGCGUAAAGCGAGCGCAGGCGGUUAGAUAAGUCUGAAGUUAAAGGCUGUGGCUUAACCAUAGUAGGCUUUGGAAACUGUUUAACUUGAGUGCAAGAGGGGAGAGUGGAAUUCCAUGUGUAGCGGUGAAAUGCGUAGAUAUAUGGAGGAACACCGGUGGCGAAAGCGGCUCUCUGGCUUGUAACUGACGCUGAGGCUCGAAAGCGUGGGGAGCAAACAGGAUUAGAUACCCUGGUAGUCCACGCUGUAAACGAUGAGUGCUAGGUGUUAGACCCUUUCCGGGGUUUAGUGCCGUAGCUAACGCAUUAAGCACUCCGCCUGGGGAGUACGACCGCAAGGUUG